CCAAGUCUGCGUUAGGGAUAGCAGCAUUUGUUUGAGCUCUUACUUAAAAUACCUAAGAAUUUUAAGUAAAGCGAGUGUGGAUAGCCCGACUCGCU
rnacentral:ncRNA from 1 species